rnacentral:rRNA from 1 species
CAGGGAAUCUUGCGCAAUGGGCGAAAGCCUGACGCAGCAACACCGCGUGGGGGAUGAAGGCCUUCGGGUUGUAAACCCCUUUUCUCAGGGAAGAAGCUCUGACGGUACCUGAGGAAUAAGCCUCGGCCAACUACGUGCCAGCAGCCGCGGUAAUACGUAGGAGGCAAGCGUUAUCCGGAUUUACUGGGCGUAAAGCGCGCGCAGGCGGCUCCUUAAGUUAGGUGUGAAAGCUUCCAGCUUAACUGGGAGAGGCCAUUUAAUACUGAGGGGCUUGAGGACAGCAGAGGAAGAUGGAAUUCCCGGUGUAGUGGUGAAAUGCGUAGAUAUCGGGAGGAACACCAGUGGCGAAGGCGGUCUUCUGGGCUGUACCUGACGCUGAGGCGCUAAAGCGUGGGGAGCAAACAGGAUUAGAUACCCUGGUAGUCCACGCCCUAAACUUUGGACACUAGAUAUGGGGGGUAUCGACCCCCUCUGUGUCGUAGUUAACACUUUAAGUGUCCCGCCUGGGGACUACGGCCGCAAGGUUA